UGGAUAGCUCAGUUGGUUAGAGCAUGGUGUUGAUAACGCCAUGGUUUGCAGGUUCAACGUUUGGGACAGGUGUGUAUUCCUGCAUUGCAGAA